UGCCAGACUCCUACGGGAGGCAGCAGUGGGGAAUAUUGCACAAUGGGGGAAACCCUGAUGCAGCGACGCCGCGUGAGCGAUGAAGUAUUUCGGUAUGUAAAGCUCUAUCAGCAGGGAAGAAAAUGACGGUACCUGACUAAGAAGCCCCGGCUAACUACGUGCCAGCAGCCGCGGUAAUACGUAGGGGGCAAGCGUUAUCCGGAUUUACUGGGUGUAAAGGGAGCGUAGACGGUCCUGCAAGCCAGAUGUGAAAGCCCGGGGCUCAACCCCGGGACUGCAUUUGGAACUGUAAGGCUAGAGUGUCGGAGAGGCAGGCGGAAUUCCUAGUGUAGCGGUGAAAUGCGUAGAUAUCACGCAGAACUCCGAUUGCGAAGGCAGCAUACCGGCGCCCGACUGACGCUGAGGCACGAAAGCGUGGGGAUCGAACAGGAUUAGAUACCCGGGUA
rnacentral:rRNA from 1 species